UUGUUACACAUAGAACAGGUGGUGAAUGAGUUUAAUAAUAUAACGUUCUGUAGGUUGUUACACAUAGAACAGGUGGUGAAUGAGUUUAAUAAUAUAACGUUCUGUAGGUUGUUACACAUAGAACAGGUGGUGAAUGAGUUUAAUGGUGGCUGUGAAUCUGUUCAAACUCAUUUCAAUUUGAAUCAUUGAAAAGAAAGGGAAUUACAAAUGAGGCCAUAAACUACAUAUAAUUUCAACUCAUCGCAAAUCUAAAACCUAUCCUUUUUUUCUCUUUAUUUCCCUUACCCAACAGUGUUUAUGUCACUAUAGACCUUGCGAAUGUAAUGUGUACAAAGUUAUUUGUUAAAAAAGACAACGCAUGUGCAUUGUACUAUUACAUACAAGUUCAAUCUUGUUCCCUUUGCAAAUGCGCAUUUCUACUUCGACAAAUGGAAUGGCGGACACAUAAUGGGGAGAAGAAAGAAGUUCAAUAAAUAGCACGUGUUUCUUGAUAUACAAUGCAUUGAAUCAGUAUCAAGACUCAGAACUUCAGGAAGGCAGUCGUUCUCCUGGUUACAAAUAUCAAAUAAUAAACAUAUAUUAAAGUAAAACAACAUGAAAUGCUGACUCGACAUAGUCUGCAAAUUAUAGGUAGCUUAUUCCACAAAGCUACAUAGUCUCGUGGCAUCUGGUAACUACUAGAGGACUGACUUCAAUAUGUAAUGGUCUUCGUGCUGUAAACUGUCAUUAAUUCUGUCAAAUAGGAUAAAAUGUGUCAUCAUGUAAACUAAUAGGAAAUUCCUUAAUGCCGAUUUCAUAAAACUUUGAGACACAGCAUUCGCCGUUAUGGAGAAGGUUGGGGGUCUAUAACAAAACAUAGCAGCUAUUUAGAUCAACGCAGUCUUGAAUAUCAUUUGAUCAGAGUUUUAACACCUCCUGGGAUAAACUAUUUGAUAGUCAGGGUAUUGAAUCAGAGCAGUCGAUCAUAAUACAGUUAUCAGAUAUCGAGAUCAUUUUGUACAUUGUCAUAAAAAGUUUGCUCAUGAUAAAGCCCUCGGAUUUAAAUACAGUGUUUCUUACUGAAUGGUUAACCAUAAGGUUCUUUUUGUGUAUCGUACUGCUGUUAAAAGUCCGAUCCAAAACAACCGACACUGAGAGAUAGAGUUGAAAUGGUUUGUUAUUGUAAAUUAUGGGUGAAACAGGAAAGUCACUGGAAAUAAUAGUUUGCUCAAUGACUUUAAAUGUUUUGUGAAUGUUGUUCUUAAAUUUCACCCUAAUAAUACUACUGGAGUUUCAUGAUUCUAUGGAUACAGCACAGAUAAUCAGGAAAAGCUGUAAAAAGUACCAUGAUCCACAUUGAAGUUUCGUAAUUAAUUUAUGUAACACAAAAAUCUGAAACAGGUGUAUAAAGUAUUCUUGUCUAAAUUGUAAUUCCGUGAAAUUGAUACAAUGCAAUGUAUGCUCUAUUUUGUAUUGCUUAUUGGAGUUAUGAGAUUGAUCACUGUUAGUUAUCUUCAACUGUCCUACUAAAACUAAUUGUGGGCAUGUGUGUAUCAGAAUUUAAAUUGUAAAUGUUUCAUUUAUGCCAUUAGUAUGAGACUAGUUCUCAAACGCAACAUAUUCUUUAAGAUCCCAUAUUCCAGAAUGAAUCCAGAGGGGUGGGUGCCCUAGAGGAGUGAACAUCCUCUGUUGACCAGUUACACCCUUCAGUAUGUAAAACAGUCUAACAAUUGGCAUGAAGCACAUCAGAUAACAUGUCACCUUACGACAAAUCAUUUUUUGUAAAUGAAUUAUCUAACUACCACCGAAUUUGCCAGAGAUGGGAUGUUGACAUAUAUAGCUAUACAGGGCAAAUGGGUGUGACCGAUCAACAUUUUGAUGAUCUUUGGCGACAUAGUAUUCCAUAAAUUUCAAUAUACUGUGUUCGUUUACAAUUUACCAUUUUCAAAUGUUCAUUUUAUGUUUAAUUAAAAUCCCUUCAAAUCAGACAUACAUUUCACAUUUAUAUUAAAGAAUCGAAGGCAAUAUAACUCUCACAAUGAAAUGUAUUCAGAAGGAUAUUUUUAUCAGACUCCUAAACAUUGGUAUUGAUAUUUCUUUAGUUUGGAGUCCAAACUUUAAUCAAUGAGUCUAAAGUUUGUGUCUUCAAUAGUAAUACCCCCCCCCCCCCGUUCAAUGACGUCUGAAAUCAGUUCUCUCAUUACAAUAGAGAACCUGUCUGUCACUAAACUAAUUAAUAUUAAUUAACAAUUUAACAAGGAACAGUCAUGCAAUACUGUUAUCAGAUGUCGAUGUCAUCUUGUGCGCUGUGAACAAUGAACUCAGUUGUCAUGACAUUUAAUUAAGCAAUACCCAGGUCUAUCCCAUAGUUCUCUUUGUUUUAUCAGUUUAAAUACACAUGCCAACAUCGAAAUAACUUCAUUGGGUGCCUGUACUUUAACAGAGUAUCUUAACAGUUCUAAGGAGAAGAACUAAAAAGCCAGGUAAGAUCUGACUUAUCUAUAGCUAUGUCUUACGUAUUUGUGUUAUUUUAUGCCAUUCUCAUGUUCCCCAGUAAGCGUAUAAGAUUUGACAUUGAUAUAGUGUGUAUACUAGUAUAAAUGGAGAUGUAAUACUGCGAAGUAAAACUAUUCCAUUCAAUCUGAGAUUGUAGAACAUUUAAACUUGCAUUUUCUGUAAACGAGUGAUUAUCGGCAUUUACUUUAGAUACUCGUGAACCAGUGUACAGCGAAUAAUUUUGUAAAUUUAUCUCCUGAAUUUAAUUUCCUUUGAAAAUAAACAGUUUCCAAAGUCCGGCAAGUCAUGUUUGUGUAAAAUGCUCAUGGUAGUGAUUGACUUGGUUGUCUGUGCGUGUGUAAAUUGGUGAUAUAAGUUUUUUUGUUUUUUUUUGUUUUUUUUUUACGUCCCAUCAAUAUUUUGUUUUCAAUCUUAAUGAGUAGCUACCAAGUGUAGUUUAAAUACCAGAAGUGUAGACCUUUCUAAGUAUUUAAGUACUGAGUCCCAAUCACCAGUAACAUUGUAAUAUACUCCCACACAUUAUAAUAUACUCCCACACAUUAUAAUAUACUCUCACACAUUGUCAUAUACUCCCACACAAAAUAAUAUACUCCCACACAUUGUAAUAUACUCCCACACAUUGUAAUAUACUCCCACAUAUUAUAAUAUACUCCCACACAAUAUAAUAUACCCCCACACAUUAUAAUAUACUCCCACACAAUAUAGUAUACUCCCACACAAUAUAAUAUACUCCCACAUAUUAUAAUAUACUCCCACACAUUGUAAUAUACUCCCACAUAGUAUAAUAUACUCCACACAUUAUAAUAUACUCCCACACAUUAUAAUAUACACCCACACAUUAUAAGAUACACCCACACAAUAUAAUAUACUCCUACACAAUGUAAUAUACUCUCACACAUUAUAAUAUACUCCCACACAAUAUGAUAUAUUCCCACACAUUAUAAUAUACUCCCACACAUUGUAAUAUACUCCCACACAUUGUAAUAUACUCCCACACAAUAUAAUAUACUCCCACACAUUAUAAUAUUUUAAUCAUUCGCCGUUAUAGGGGAGGCUGGUGGUUUAAAAAAAAAAACCCAGGUAUUUAGAUCAACGCAUUCUGAUUAAAAUAAGAUCUUUGAUCCGCUCCGUUAUUGUUAUGUCGCUACACAAUAACGGAGCGGAUCAAAGAUCUUAUUUUAAUCAGAUUGUAUUGACCACCGGCCUCAUAUCGACCACUUUUUUGCCAACCCUGCCCCGGGCAUAGACAUAUAACAGAUAUGUUAUCCGUUAUAUGUCUAUGUGAAUACAUACUGCAACUUUGCAUUCUGAACAAUUAAACAUACACAUUAUAUAAUUAUACAAGUCCAUAUUGCUCUUUUUCCAGCCAAUUGUGCAUUUACUAGUUCUGGUAUACAUGUUAUAACUGAUGAAUUUGAUUACAUCCCUCGGGCCCCCCAUUUUCAUCUUAACACUUUAGCUCCCCUCUACCCCCCCCCCCCUUGAUGUCCACUCCCCCAAAUCAAUGUCUACUUUCCGAUUAUUUGUUGGGGGUUGGACGAAAAUACAAUGAUCAUUUCGAUGUAAUGGAAUUGUGAAACCAGUAGGAUAAUUUGGUUCAGACAGUGAGUUUUGCAUUUCAUUCAUAGAAUAGCCCUACUUACCUGAUCUCACCUCUGAUAUGUCCAGGGAUCUAUGUUUGCCCUACUUUCAGUUUUCUAUUCUUCAUGGGAUUUAUGCGAUUAAUCGUUGUACAUUAUUUUCACUGGUCUACAUAACGGUAAGAAAUAAAUAAAGAAGUUUUUCCUUCAACGUAUCCGCUUCGUUUGUUUAUUGCCGCCAUUGUGCACUAGCAUUCCGGAUAAAUACUAACUACCGGAUACGUCUCUUUCAUUUCGCUCAUUUCCGCGCGAGACCAUGGGUUGUUUUCAUCUGCCCGUGUAGCACAUUCAUUUCGUAUGUAGGUAGCAUCAAUCAGCGGGGAACCAGUUUACAAAUAUUUAAAAAAAAUAUUGUCAAAAGUAUUAUAGCUCUUAAAAUAAAGGAUAUAUUCCAAUAUUUCUCCUAUAAAUUUUUUUAUCGAUUUUUUUAAUACUUUGUAAUUGAUUGACAACUUCCGUCAACAUCGGAUGAAAACACAGAAAAUGGAGGCCGGAGGGGCAGUGCAGUGAGAAGAUUCUGCCUUACUUAACAUUAAGUCAUUCUUAGGAGAACUUCUUAGUAGAUAAUAAGCAGGCUGACUCUUUAUAAAUUGGGAAGAGGAAGGAGUCGGAACUGAACAUUCUGGAGGGAGUGGCUUGUGCUGAGUUUUAUUUUUUAAGGAAACUUCCAUUCAACAUGUUCAACAACAGAAAAUCUGUGAAUUAACCCACUGUAGAGUGCCAAAAUCUGUUGCAACAGAAUAGUUGCAGAUUAAUCUAAUAGAUCUGCCUGUGAUGACCAUGAUUGGAACUAUAUCUUGUUUAGUAAAUGGACUUAAAUAAUGAUCAACUCCAAAAAGUACCCAAAACUGUUUCAACAGAAUUGCUACAGUAUAGAUGCCUGUGAUGACCAUGAUCGAGACUAAUAUAUUUUUGAUGAAGUGUUAAAGUGUAUACACAGACACAAACAUGGGCAUAGUUAAUUUGUUUUGUAUUAUAUAAUGUCCAUUAUGGGUUGAUUUCAUUGUCAUGUCAUAUAUUAUGAUUAUAGUUUAAAUAAUUUAUCUCCAA